GGGAUAUAAAAAUAAUGCAUUGUAUGCCGGAAGGGAUAAAUCUGGGGCUGAGUACAAGCAAAACAAGACCAAAGGAAGCUACCUGAGCAGUCACUGGAGCCCUAAUGAUCGCAGCCAUUUCAGGAAAUGCCAUCAAUUACAGUGAGGAGCUCAUUCAGAAGUGAAAGAUGAGUUCCAUUCUCUGUUACUUAGAGGAACACAAUUAUUUCUGGAAAGAGUAUUACACUCAGUAUUCUGCAUUUCAUAUGGCAUUUCAAAGUCCUGAGAAUGACUCUCCGUAGUCUUCUAUGUACUAAUUAAACAUGAACAUGUGGUAAACAACAUGGACUAUUCCAGUGGACAGAAAGCGUCAAGUUAAAAUGUUUAAGUGCCCCAUAUUUUUCUAAGUAUUCUUAUCCAGUUGGUCUGACUGGUCAUUAUCUGUUUUGUAAAACUUCCCAAACAACUCAUCAAUAUUUAAAUAG
rnacentral:lncRNA from 10 species